rnacentral:rRNA from 1 species
CUACGGGAUGCACCAGUGAGGAAUAUUGCACAAUGGGGGGAACCCUGAUGCAGCAACGCCGCGUGGAGGAUGACGCAUUUCGGUGUGUAAACUCCUUUUAUAUGUCAAGAAAAUGACGGUAGCAUAUGAAUAAGCACCGGCUAACUCCGUGCCAGCAGCCGCGGUAAUACGGAGGGUGCAAGCGUUACUCGGAAUCACUGGGCGUAAAGGACGUGUAGGCGGGUUGGAAAGUCAGGUGUGAAAUCCUACAGCUUAACUGUAGAACUGCACUUGAAACUUCUAAUCUAGAGUAUGGGAGGGGGAGAUGGAAUUAGUGGUGUAGGGGUAAAAUCCGUAGAUAUCACUAGGAAUACCUAAAGCGAAGGCGAUCUCCUGGAACAUUACUGACGCUAAGGCGUGAAAGCGUGGGGAGCAAACAGGAUUAGAUACCCCAGUAGUC